rnacentral:lncRNA from 1 species
ACCCGCCAGCCCCGCGCUCUACCAGGCAGAGCGCGUGUGGCCGCCGAGCACAUGGACCCACUGGUCAAGCGGGCUCGGCAAGGCCAGGAUGAAGAGAAGCUACGAACUUAGCAUUCCCAGAGCCCCCCGAGUGGAUAUCCGCGUGGAAAGGAUGUUGGCAGCCCCGGUGACCUCGGAGUCACGGCUGGAUCCACCCUCUUGUCUGAUUUUCUUAACUCUACUACGGUAAGAAGAUGCCCUCCAUCAGCAGGCCGUGUCUGCUGGGACCUCUCUGGAGACUUCCUGAACCCUGUGGAUUUACAGUAAGAUGCAGUUUCCUGGGGAGUAAUUCUGGUGGAUACAAAUUCCGGAGUAUUACACCUGGCUUGCCUGGAGAUGUUACAAGUAGCUGGAUGGAUUCUUCAGCCUGGAUGCCCACUGAAAACAAGGACCGAAACUAAGAGGAUUGUAUCUCUACCCUUGACUCAAUGAGAAUGUUUGUUGUCAUCUCUCGGGCUACCUGGAGCUCCCUCUAAAAUAGAGCCGAGUUCUGUCACCACAGACAUUGGCAGUGGCACUUGCAUGCCCCUGGCAAGCAGUCUAUCCUGAGGUGGAGGAAGUUGCCCUUGAGUUCUGGCUGGUAACCAGCACAGUAUACCCUUUAAGCGUUCCAGAAGGAUUUUGAGAUCCUUUCCUAAAUCAAAGGUGGAAUAUUUGGGGAUUUGGAAAAUUGAGAUGUGAAGCGUUGACUUAAGAGAUGCCAAGUAACUCAGCAGAUGUCACACAGACGAUAAAUAGCAAAGAUGGAAGUCUUCAUGCCGGAGGCAAUCCUAUAAGACAGCUGAGUUCUGCAGAGCUGGUAGGAGACAGACUUGCUCAGGUGAUAGAUCCAGCCAUGAUACUGACCCUAAGAGAAUGAGACGCUCUGCAGAAGACAGAAGAUUCCUGAAACUGGGAAAGGUGCCUAGAAAUCCUGAUAAGAGUGAAGAAGGAGCUGGCAGAGCAGCCUUCCUCCGCACUAUGAAAGACAUCCAACAGAGAGCAAGUUCCCACCUCACUUCCAGCUUGACUCCUUUUUAUCUCCUAACUGUGGUCUGUGAUGUCUUCAGCAAUGGGUACCUGGAGGCACAGCAGCCAUGUUGAACCUAUGAGGUGAUGAAAAACCAUGCAACUAGAAACCAGAAUGGAAGAAAAGAAGAAGCUGGAUCCUUGACUGAAUUGUCGAUGGGGGAUAGUCCAUCAUCCCAGGGCUAAGACCACCUCCAGAUUUCUUGUUUGGUGAAACAAGUCCUGAUUGUUUACAUUCCCUCGUGUUGAGCUGUCUCUUGCUUGUAGCUGAAAGCAUUUCUAAUAGAUAUUCAGAUUAUCAGCCUUAGCUCCAAGCUAGAAUACUCUAUGGGACCUUAGCUUCUCCAUGAAUUCCUUUGCUCAUCUGUGUAAUGCUCAAUAAAUGUAAAUUGAACCCUGAAUGAGGGACAAUGACA